AGAGCGAACGCUGGCGGCAGGCCUAAUACAUGCAAGUCGAACGAACCCUUCGGGGUUAGUGGCGGACGGGUGAGUAACACGUGGGAACGUGCCUUUUGGUUCGGAACAACUCAGGGAAACUUGAGCUAAUACCGAAUGUGCCCUUCGGGGGAAAGAUUUAUCGCCAUUAGAGCGGCCCGCGUCUGAUUAGCUAGUUGGUGGGGUAAAGGCCCACCAAGGCUACGAUCAGUAGCUGGUCUGAGAGGAUGAUCAGCCACACUGGGACUGAGACACGGCCCAGACUCCUACGGGAGGCAGCAGUAGGGAAUCUUGCGCAAUGGGCGAAAGCCUGACGCAGCCAUGCCGCGUGAAUGAUGAAGGUCUUAGGAUUGUAAAAUUCUUUCAGCGGGGACGAUAAUGACGGUACCGCAGAAGACGCCCGGCUAACUUCGCGCCAGCAGCCGC
rnacentral:rRNA from 1 species